AUAUUUGACAAUGGGGGGAACCCUGAUCCAGCCAUGCCCCGUGUGUGAAGAAGGUCUUUGGAUUGUAAAGCACUUUAAGUUGGGAGGAAGAGUUGUAGGCUAAUACCUUGCAAUUUUGACGUUACCAACAGAAUAAGCACCGGCUUACUUCGUGCCAGCAGCCGCGGUAAUACGAAGGGUGCUAGGGUUAAUCGGAAUUACUGGGCGUAAAGCGCGCGUAGGUGGUUCGUUAAGUUGGAAGUGAAAGCCCCGGGCUUAACCUAGGAAUUGAUUUCAAAACUGACGAGAUAGAGUAAGGUAGAGGGUAGUGGAAUUUCCUGUGUAGCGGUGAAAUGCGUAGAUAUAGGAAGGAACAUAAGUGGCGAAGGCGACUACCUGGACUGAUACUGACACUGAGGUGCGAAAGCGUGGGGAGCAAACAGG
rnacentral:rRNA from 1 species